rnacentral:rRNA from 1 species
UGGGGAAUAUUGCACAAUGGGGGAAACCCUGAUGCAGCAACGCCGCGUGGGUGAUGACGGCCUUCGGGUUGUAAAGCUCUGUCUUCAGGGACGAUAAUGACGGUACCUGAGGAGGAAGCCACGGCUAACUACGUGCCAGCAGCCGCGGUAAUACGUAGGUGGCAAGCGUUGUCCGGAUUUACUGGGCGUAAAGGGAGCGUAGGCGGACUUUUAAGUGAGAUGUGAAAUACCCGGGCUCAACCUGGGUGCUGCAUUUCAAACUGGAAGUCUAGAGUACGGUAGAGGGUGGUGGAAUUUCCUGUGUAGCGGUGAAAUGCGUAGAUAUAGGAAGGAACACCAGUGGCGAAGGCGACCACCUGGACUGAUACUGACGCUGAGGCGCGAAAGCGUGGGGAGCAAACA